GCAUAAUCAUUUGCCUUUUAAUUCAAGGCUAGAAUGAAUGGACACACGAAAAUUUUUCUGUCUCAAUUUUAAACCUAAAACUUAAACUCCAGGUGAAGAUGCCUGACUCUAUUUGAAAGACACGAAGACCCUAUAGAUUUUAAGUUGCCAAAACCCCUAGUCCCACCAACUUUAGUUGGGGCGACUAAGGAUUCACAAAAACAUCCUUCAAAACCAAGAACAAUUAUUCUCAUUAUAAACUCUACAACCAGUAAACAAAACAAAUUACCUUAGGGAUAACAGGCUUAUCUUCCUAAAGAGUUCAAAUUGCAAGGAAGGUUUGGCACCUCGAUGUUGGCUUAGAGUAACCCGUUAAAGUAGACAUUAACAUGGUUAGUGUGUUCAACUAUUAAAUCUCU
rnacentral:rRNA from 1 species